GAUGAACGCUAGCGGCAGGCUUAAUACAUGCAAGUCGAGGGGCAGCAUGUCCCGCAGCAAUGCGGGAUGAUGGCGACCGGCAAACGGGUGCGGAACACGUACAGAACCUUCCUUCGAGCGGGGAAUAGCCCAGAGAAAUUUGGAUUAAUACCCCAUAGUAAAUUGAAAAGGCAUCUUUUUAAUUUUAAAGAUUUAUCACUUGAAGAUGGCUGUGCGGCUGAUUAGGUAGUUGGCGGGGUAACGGCCCACCAAGCCUGCGAUCAGUAACUGGUGUGAGAGCACGACCAGUCACACGGGCACUGAGACACGGGCCCGACUCCUACGGGAGGCAGCAGUAAGGAAUAUUGGGCAAUGGACGCAAGUCUGACCCAGCCAUGCCGCGUGGAGGAUGAAGGUCCUCUGGAUUGUAAACUUCUUUUAUAUGGGACGAAAAAAGGGCUUUCCAGCUCACUUGACGGUACCAUAUGAAUAAGCACCGGCUAACUCCGUGCCAGCCGCCGCAGUAAAAC
rnacentral:rRNA from 1 species